UAAGAGUUAGACUCUGUGUGUGUGCU
rnacentral:piRNA from 1 species